CCUACGGGGGGCAGCAGUAACGAAUCUUCCACAAUGCACGAAAGUGUGAUGGAGCGACGCCGCGUGUGGGACGAAGUCCUUCGGGAUGUAAACCACUGUCAAGGGAAAGAAAGAUCUGAUCUACCCUAGAGGAAGUGGCGACUAACUCUGUGCCAGCAGUCGCGGUAAUACAGAGGCCACAAGCGUUAGGCGGAAUCACUGGGCUUAAAGCGUGUGUAGGCGGGUUGGUAAGUACCUUGUGAAAUCCCACGGCUCAACCGUGGAACUGCUUGGUC
rnacentral:rRNA from 1 species